CUCUUCGUGGUGUAGUGGUCAGCACGCUCGACGCGUAACCGAGAGGUCCGUGGUUCGAUUCCCGGCGAAGGCG
rnacentral:tRNA from 1 species